CAAUAGCGUAUAUUAAAGUUGUUGCAGUUAAAAAGCUCGUAGUUGGAUUUCUGGUGGGAGCGAUCGGUCUGGCGCUUAGCGCGAGUACUUGCAUCGUCUCCGGCCAUCCUUGGGGAGAGUCUGUCUGGCAUUAAGUUGUCGGGCAGAGGAUCCUCAACGUUUACUGUGAAAAAAUUAGAGUGUUCAAAGCAGGCUUAUGCCGUUGAAUAUAUUAGCAUGGAAUAAUAAGAUAGGACUUUGGUACUAUUUUGUUGGUUUGCGCACCAAAGUAAUGAUUAAUAGGGACAGUUGGGGGUAUUCGUAUUCCGUUGUCAGAGGUGAAAUUCUUGGAUUUACGGAAGACGAACUACUGCGAAAGCAUUUACCAAGGAUGUUUUCAUUAA
rnacentral:rRNA from 1 species